rnacentral:lncRNA from 1 species
AUGUCCCUGGGACAACAUUUACAACAUUUACACGAUGUCCCUGGGACAACAUUUACACGAUGUCCCAGGGACAACAUUCACACGGUGUCCCAGGGACAACAUUUACAACAUUUACACGAUGUCCCUGGGACAACAUUCACACGGUGUCCCUGGGACAACAUUUACACGAUGUCCCAGGGACAACAUUCACACGGUGUCCCAGGGACAACAUUUACAACAUUUACACGAUGUCCCUGGGACAACAUUUACAACAUUUACACGAUGUCCCAGGGACAACAUUACAUGAUGUCCCUGGGACAACAUUUACACGAUGUCCCUGGGACAACUUUACACGAUGUCCCUGGGACAACUUUACACGAUGUCCCUGGGACAACUUUAACAAGAUGGCCCAGGCACAACAUUUACACGAUGUCCCAGGCACAACAUUUACAUGGUGUCCCAGGGACAACAUUUACAACAUUCACACGAUGUCCCUGGGACAACAUUCACACGGUGUCCCAGGGACAACAUUCACACGAUGUCCCAGGGACAACAUUCACACGGUGUCCCUGGGACAACAUUUACACGAUGUCCCAGGCACAACAUUUACACGAUGUCCCUGGGACAACAUUCACACGGUGUCCCAGGGACAACAUUCACACGAUGUCCCAGGGACAACAUUCACACGGUGUCCCUGGGACAACAUUUACACGAUGUCCCAGGGACAACAUUUACAACAUUCACACGAUGUCCCUGGGACAACAUUCACACGGUGUCCCUGGGACAACAUUUACACGAUGUCCCUGGGACAACAUUUACAACAUUUACACGAUGUCCCUGGGACAACAUUCACACAGUGUCCCAGGGACAACAUUACACGAUGUCCCUGGGACAACUUUAACAAGAUGGCCCAGGCACAACAUUUACACGAUGUCCCAGGCACAACAUUUACAUGGUGUCCCAGGGACAACAUUUACAACAUUUACACGAUGUCCCUGGGAUAACAUUCACACGGUGUCCCAGGACAAAUUUGUAAAUUUCGGGAUUACUGUUAAUCUCCAUAGAAUCAAGAACUCAUGUCCAGUUUCACAGCUAUGGACCAGUUAA